rnacentral:rRNA from 1 species
CCCUUAGAUGUUCUGGGCUGCACGCGUGCUACACUGAUUAUUUCAACAAGUGUUUUAACUGGAGGGUUUGCGUAAUCCUGAAAUGUUAUCGUGAUGGGAGUAGAGUAUUGUAUUUGUUAAUCUUUAACGAGGAAUUCCUAGUAAGUGUAGGUUUAUAAGUUGUUCUGAUUACGUCCCUGCCCUUUGUACACACCGCCCGUCGCUCCUACCGAUUGAUUGAUCCGUGAAUUACAUAGAAUUUUGCGUUUUACAUGACGGAAGAUGAAGUGUUUUAAACCUUAUCAUUUAGAGGAAGGAGAAGUCGUAACA